GACGAACGCUGGCGGCGUGCCUAACACAUGCAAGUCGAGCGAGUGAAUCUCCUUCGGGAGUGAAGCUAGCGGCGGACGGGUGAGUAACACGUGGGCAACCUGCCUCAUAGAGGGGAAUAGCCUUUCGAAAGGAAGAUUAAUACCGCAUAAGAUUGUAGCUUCGCAUGAAGUAGCAAUUAAAGGAGCAAUCCGCUAUGAGAUGGGCCCGCGGCGCAUUAGCUAGUUGGUGAGGUAACGGCUCACCAAGGCGACGAUGCGUAGCCGACCUGAGAGGGUGAUCGGCCACAUUGGGACUGAGACACGGCCCAGACUCCUACGGGAGGCAGCAGUGGGGAAUAUUUCACAAUGGGGGAAACCCUGAUGCAGCAACGCCGCGUGAGUGAUGACGGCCUUCGGGUUGUAAAGCUCUGUCUUCAGGGACGAUAAUGACGGUACCUGAGGAGGAAGCCACGGCUAACUACGUGCCAGCAGCCGCCGCAGUAA
rnacentral:rRNA from 1 species